GAGUGAUUAGUGGAUGGGUUGCAGGUGUGCAGCUGGGAGCAGGUGAACCAGCUUGGCACCAAUCAGGAGCCAGGAGAGGGAGGGAAUCACCACGGCAACAACACAGGACACACAGAGAAAGAGAGAGGAAACAGUUGGUGACAUGAGCACGUUUCUCUGUCUCUUACCUGCAGCCUCUGUUUGAAGAGAGCACUGUGUCGGUGUGCUGCAGUGUCCUGUCUGAACCCCCCCCCCACAGCCUGCGCUCUACAGAAGGACGGUUUCUUGGAGGAUGGUGAAGAAAUGUGGUUAAGGACUGGGACUCAAUGACUCAAAUGACCACAUGUGAGUCCCGGGGAGUCCCAUCAACAUCACUGGGCUUUAACUGGGACGUUUUGGGACCGAUUGGUUGGAGUGCUGUGGCCGAAGUACGCGUGGCGGAACACUGGUUUCUGUGUGAAAGUGACUGAUGGAGCAUCAUGAAUUGGCCAGUAUUAAGCGAGAUUGACAGGGAAACAAGCUACAAUGUUUACAACUGUCACGACUUCCUUACCUCUGACAAACAGCCAGCUGGGUGAAGAGUCUCCAACCCCGCUGAUGUGACACUUGUAGAGGCCUUCAUCAGUCGUAU